GUAGGGUGCGAGCGUUAAUCGGAAUUACUGGGCGUAAAGCGUGCGCAGGCGGUUUUGUAAGCCAGAUGUGAAAGCCCCGGGCUUAACCUGGGAAUGGCAUUUGGGACUGCAAGGCUUGAGUGCGGCAGAGGAGACUGGAAUUCCCGGUGUAGCAGUGAAAUGCGUAGAUAUCGGGAGGAAUACCGAUGGCGAAGGCAGGUCUCUGGGCUGACACUGACGCUCAUGCACGAAAGCGUGGGGAGCAAACAGGAUUAGAUACCCUGGUAGUCCACGCCCUAAACGAUGUCGACUGGUUGUUGGGGGUUUGACACUCUCAGUAACGAAGCUAACGCGUGAAGUCGACCGCCUGGGGAGUACGGCCGCAAGGUUA
rnacentral:rRNA from 1 species